CACGUAGGGGGCAAGCGUUGUCCGGAUUUAUUGGGCGUAAAGAGCUCGUAGGCGGUUCAGUAAGUCGGGUGUGAAAACUCAGGGCUCAACCCUGAGACGCCACUCGAUACUGCUGUGACUCGAGUCCGGUAGGGGAGCGUGGAAUUCCUGGUGUAGCGGUGAAAUGCGCAGAUAUCAGGAGGAACACCAGCGGCGAAGGCGGCGCUCUGGGCCGGUACUGACGCUCAGGUGCGAAAGCGUGGGGAGCAAACAGG
rnacentral:misc_RNA from 1 species